GCGGUUCCGGCCCCGCCCCGCCGCCGCGGCAUCGCGGGCAAACACAGCGCUGACGGGACGGGCCCCGGGCUGAUUCCUGCCCCGCCGCCCGGCUGGAGGCGUGGGAGACCCACCGUGAGAGAGAUGGCAGCGACAGGAAAUCUAAAGUUCCUGCCUCCUUAUGGGAAAAGGCAAACAUCCUUCCACCUUCUCUCCGUCUUUAUGGAACCACCAGGAUUAAGGGGAAGAAGUUAACAAAACCAAGAAAAAUUCCUAAUUUGUAAGGAAUUUAUGCAUAAUGUAUGAGAUAUAUGAACAGGCUGUUGCUUUUAAGGUUAUUCCUUUGUUCACAGGGCAUGUUUUUGGCAGCUCAGUGCCCAAAAACAUCCAGACAUCUGCAAUUCUUUGCUUUGUAUUGUCUUGUAAUUGUCUAACUCUAAAUUUUUAUUACUCAAAUUCUAUUACUAUUUUUAUAACCAUUUUAUUAUGAUUAAAAAACUUUUUAAAAAUUCUAAAAAUGUUAAUACAGCACUUCUAAUCAAUAUAACAUAAUACAUAAUACAUAUAGUAUUCCAUUUAAUAUUUGCAAAAAGACAAUCAUAAAAUAUGCAUUUUUCACAGUUCAUAAGUGAUUUUUCCUGGCGAGUCUUUACACUGGCCCCACACGUGUAUUUGCAGUGUUGUGCAGGUCUGCACUUGAGCCUUGUUUUAAUUGCUAUGUUUGGGUGGAUCCCAGCAGAAAUCACAAUUCCCUCAGCAUUUUAAAGUCAUGUUUCAUGCAAACCCCAAGGGAUUGGGUGACAAGGCUCCUUCAUCACCCAGCAGCCUGCUGAAUUAUUUUUUUGUGAGUGACAGCGUGCAAAGACUCGGCUGUUGGUUCAGUGGUAAUCCCAGAGGAAUCCCCAACGCUCUGUGGUGGAAUAAGAAUAACAAAAUAAAUAAAUUCUUGGCAA